GUCUGGGAAAUAUUUGGAUGAAAAGGUGUAAGGUUUGAUGAGGAUUGCUUGAGUUCCAAAGCCUCAUUGGACAAACUUUGAGAAGCAGUUUGUAGGACAUACUGUGGCCAAUAAUAGCAAGUGAAAUAUAUAGAGGAUAAUAAAUCACCUUCAGAUAGAACAGGGACAUCUCUCCCAGGCUGGGCUCUCCUGAAAAGUUAACCCUUUUUGGUUUCUGAAGAAUAUAGUUUGAGUACCAAUCAUUUGAUCCCUUGAAACAAUACUAAAUAAAGUGAUAUUUUACUCAGUUCCCGUGCAG